rnacentral:rRNA from 1 species
AGAGUUUGAUCAUGGCUCAGAAUGAACGCUGGCGGCGUGCCUAACACAUGCAAGUCGAGCGAGAAAGUCUCUUCGGAGAUAAGUACAGCGGCGGACGGGUGAGUAACGCGUGAGAAUUUACCCUUUAGUGAAGAAUACCUCUGAGAAAUCAGGGUUAAUACUGCAUACGUCCCUACGGGGAGAAAGGUGGCCUUCUUUGCUGCCGACUAAAGGAUAAGCUUGCGUACUAUUAGCUAGUUGGUGAGGUAAAGGCUCACCAAGGCGAUGAUGGUUAGCCGGCCUGAGAGGGUGUACGGCCACACUGGAACUUAGACACGGUCCAGACUCCUACGGGAGGCAGCAGUGAGGAAUAUUGCGCAAUGGGCGAAAGCCUGACGCAGCGACGCCGCGUGGAGGAUGAAGGUCUUCGGAUUGUAAACUCCUGUUAAGUGGGAAGAAAGACCUAUUUCUAAUACAGAUAGGGGAUGACGGUACCAUUAGAGAAAGCACCGGCUAACUUCGUG